UCUAGAAAGAUUUCGGGUUGGCCCGAAUCUUCUGAGCGCCUCGUGCCUCGACGGGGGACGCUUAACGGUGAAAGGAAGGCGAGUGGGAAACCAGGGCCUGGGCAUGCAGAGCAGGAGGAAGAGGGGGGCGAAGGGAGGCAAGACGGCCAGGAAAAGGAGCUGAGUGGCACAUUAACCUUCCAGUUGCCGCCUCUGGCGCCCGUUGACCUCAGCAGGGACAAGGGCUAGCGCCGGCUCUGCGCAGGCGCGCGAGAGCGUUCCGCCCCCCGCCGCCGGGCGGGGCUCAGCCCCUCAGCCCUUCAGCAACGUUCUCCCCAGUGGGCGACCCCCGUCAGGGGGCCUGGAGAGCCACAAUUCUUCUAGUGUAAUAGCCCCCGCCAGCGGUGGUGGUGCCUGCCCAUGCCAGAGGCGCCGGGCUCGCCCACCCGAAGGUCCCUGGGGCGUCGGACUCAGGUUCGCCGAACCCAGGACCCAGCGAGCCAGACCCGCGCGCUCGGGCCCCCUGCCUGGGCUCUGGCUACGCGGGCUACUCGGCCACUUUGUGACCGUGCGGAGCGCGGAGUUGGGAGCAGGGAGGCCUGUGGCCAGUGAGGUAGUGAAGCCCGAGGCCGCUGGGAGCUGGCACCUGACGUGUUCUUCCCAUCCCUCCUUUAAUCGCUCAUUCCCCAGCUCUCUCCCAGCCCCCGACCUUUAUUCUCAUUCCAGACACUUCCAGCCCAACGGCAGGCGCCGAUCCCACGCGGGGUGGCGAGAUCCGAAAGUUUCCAGCUAUGAACGAUCCACUGUGCCAACUAGGCAGGAGCAAAGACAGCCACAACAGAAAUUGGCUUUGGAGAGGAGUGAUUGGAUGCUGAGGGCAAAUGAUUUGCUAUUUAUUGACCUCGACUGCUGUGAGUGAAUUCUAGUAAACAAAAAAACAUGCACCAUGUACUACACCACCUGUGGAAUUUGGUCUGCCAAGGGAGCCAGGCUGUGGGUCCAGCCCCACCAAUGGUUUGCUAGGUGAACUCAAGUAAGCCAUGCAAUCUGUACUGAAAAUCCUGGUACAAUCUGGGAACAGUUGUGUCUCCUGGCCCAAGGUAGCCUGCUAUUAAACAAGACAGUGCUCUAUGCCCUUUUAGGGAUGCUAUGAAAUUUUACAGUAUGAUGACAGCCUGUUUAGGCUUAUUAUAUGCCUUACUGACUUGUGCAACUGUUGGCAACCCACUUCUCUCUGGAUUCGUAUCCUCCAACUG